UUUAUUUAAUAUUUGACUAUAAUUAAUUUUUAGUACAACUUAUACUUCUGUUUUUAUGGAAAGUACAACUACAUAUUUCCUACUAGAAUUAAAAUGAAAAUAAAACAUAACAUAAACAGCCAAUUGACCGAAAAAUAUCUCAAGUUGAAAAUACAAAAAUACACGUGUUGCCCACGUGAUCCUGGGUAAAUCAUUUCUAUUGCAUAUAAUAAGUGGCUCUCUUGUAAUUUUAACUAACAUUCAUGCCCAAUUACACUCCUCCCUUAUAGCUCACACUUUUCCUCCAUUUAAUAGCACUUCCAUCUCCAAAAAAAACCAAAACGAAAAAAGAACACUGGAAAUAAUAAUAUUAAAAAGACCGCCAAAUCCUUUUGUGUUUUUUUUUUCUUUUUUCAUCUCUUCGUUUGUUUCUCGAGAAAAUAUACACUUCCGGGUUCCGUGAAGUUAAUCGAGUUGCCGGCGCUGCUUUGAGGAAGGUAUUGAAGCAUGACGUCAGGGACGAGAAUGCCGACGUGGAAGGAGAGGGAGAACAACAAGCGGANNNNNNNN
rnacentral:lncRNA from 1 species